ensembl:processed_transcript
UUAGUGCAACUUUAUGGUGCGACUCACAUGGUAAAGACAUCCAGGGCAUCAACAGGCGACCGGACGACAUCAAAGUAGGUCUGCAGGAUGGUGACGGUGCCAGAAAGAGCCUCAUGUCCACAGCCACAGAAGAGAGCAACACCGGCGUACAGCAGGAUAGUGGCGAUCAGAGAGGCAUACGGGAUCCCACUCAGACAUUUGAGGCAGCAUUCAGAGCAACCUGUCAACAACAGCAAGAGUCAGGAAAUGGUGGAAAUGGUGGAAAAGGGGAACCGUAUCCAGGCAGUCACUCUUUUCCAUUAGAGAACAAUGGAUUUUCCAGGUCUUGAGGCCGUUAACAUCAAGAACAAAAACUUAAACAAUGGUAACUACUGUGUACUGAUUGAACUAUAUUAAGACGAAAACUGUGGUUUAUUGCCAUUUGUGCAGUUGCAUUCUCAAGCAACAAACUAAUCUAAAGCUACAUAGCGGUUUAAUCCCGAUUCCUAGUGUUCCCUUUGAAGUGUGCAUGUGGAAAUGCUCUUAAUUUCACAAUUUUAAAGUCCUUAGUUU